ACGAUUAUUGCCGCCAUUAUUCCGAUGGCGGGUUAGCUCUUUUUAUUGUCGAAGAAGCCCGCCCUGGAGGCGGGUUUC
rnacentral:sRNA from 1 species